GAUGAACGCUGGCGGCGUGCCUAAUACAUGCAAGUCGAGCGAACAGACGAGGAGCUUGCUCCUCUGACGUUAGCGGCGGACGGGUGAGUAACACGUGGAUAACCUACCUAUAAGACUGGGAUAACUUCGGGAAACCGGAGCUAAUACCGGAUAAUAUAUUGAACCGCAUGGUUCAAUAGUGAAAGACGGUUUUGCUGUCACUUAUAGAUGGAUCCGCGCCGCAUUAGCUAGUUGGUAAGGGAACGGCUUACCAAGGCAACGAUGCGUAGCCGACCUGAGAGGGUGAUCGGCCACACUGGAACUGAGACACGGUCCAGACUCCUACGGGAGGCAGCAGUAGGGAAUCUUCCGCAAAGGGCGAAAGCCUGACGGAGCAACGCCGCGUGAGUGAUGAAGGUCUUCGGAUCGUAAAACUCUGUUAUUAGGGAAGAACAAAUGUGUAAGUAACUAUGCACGUCUUGACGGUACCUAAUCAGAAAGCCACGGCUAACUACGUG
rnacentral:rRNA from 1 species